UACGGAGGGUGCAAACGUUGCUCGGAAUCAUUGGGCGUAAAGCGCAUGUAGGCGGUCGGCUAUGUCGGAUGUGAAAGCCUCGGGCUUAACCCGAGAAGUGCAUCCGAAACUGGCCGGCUUGAGUACGGAAGAGGGUCUCGGAAUUCCCGGUGUAGAGGUGAAAUUCGUAGAUAUCGGGAGGAACACCAGUGGCGAAGGCGGAGACCUGGGCCGAUACUGACGCUGAGAUGCGAAAGCGUGGGGAGCAACAGG
rnacentral:rRNA from 1 species